GCAUUGGUGGUUCAGUGAUAGAAUUCUCACCUUCCACGCAGAAGACCUAGGUUCAAUUCCCUGCCAGUGCA
rnacentral:tRNA from 1 species